GCCGGGGUGCUCUAGAGGCUUGGCCGGAGAGCCUGGUAAGCCUGUGGCCCUUGUGGCCGCGUGGGUUCAAAUCCCACCCCCGGCG
rnacentral:tRNA from 1 species